rnacentral:rRNA from 1 species
UCGCCUGUUUAUCAAAAACAUCGUUUCUUGAAAAUCUUUAAGAAAUUUAACCUGCCCCCUGAAUUUUUAAAGGGCCGCAGUAUUUUGACUGUGCAAAGGUAGCAUAAUCAUUAGUCUUUUAAUUGGAGGCUGGUAUGAAUGGUUGGACGAGGUAAAAUCUGUCUUAUAUUAAUUUAAAAUUGAAUUUAGAUUUUAAGUAAAAAGACUUAAAUAAUAUUAAGGGACGAGAAGACCCUAUAGAGUUUAAUAAAUGUAAUUAUUAAAUAAGUUUAGGAAGAAUUUUUAUUUAUUAUAAAGUUUAUUUAAUUGGGGUGAUUAGAAGAUAAAGUUAACUCUUCUUUAAAAUAAAUAUUUUAAUUAAUUUUAUGAUCCGCAUAAUGUGAUUGAAAGAUUAAAUUACCUUAGGGAUAACAGCAUAAUUUUUUUUGAGAGUUCAUAUCGAAAGAAAAGGUUGUGACCUCGAUGUUGGAUUAAGAUAAAUUUUGGGUGUAGAUGUUCAAAAAUUAAGUCUGUUCGACUUUAAAAAUCUUACAUGAUCUGAGUUCAAACCGGAGA